UUAAUUAUUUAUUAUUGUUUUAUAAUAAUAAUUAAUUAAAUUAUUACUUAAAUGGGUUAACCUAUUUAACAACUCAACCCAUCAAAUUAAAUGAGUUAUGGGUUGACCCAACUCAUUUAACAAAAUGAGUUGGGUCAACCCAUAACUCAUUUAACUCUAAACUCAUUUGAUUAUGAGUUGAGUUGGGUUACCCAUUUUGACAUCCCUACAUGUGGCAAAAAGAAUAAAGUGUUAAAAUUGUUUCAGUCUUUAAUUUAG
rnacentral:sRNA from 1 species